GACGAACGCUGGCGGCGUGCUUAACACAUGCCAGUCGAACGGAAAGGCCCUGCUUUUGUGGGGUGCUCGAGUGGCGAACGGGUGAGUAACACGUGAGUAACCUGCCCUUGACUUUGGGAUAACUUCAGGAAACUGGGGCUAAUACCGGAUAGGGGCUCCUGCUGCAUGGUGGGGGUUGGAAAGUUUCGGCGGUUGGGGAUGGACUCGCGGCUUAUCAGCUUGUUGGUGGGGUAGUGGCUUACCAAGGCUUUGACGGGUAGCCGGCCUGAGAGGGUGACCGGCCACAUUGGGACUGAGAUACGGCCCAGACUCCUACGGGAGGCAGCAGUGGGGAAUAUUGCACAAUGGGCGGAAGCCUGAUGCAGCAACGCCGCGUGCGGGAUGACGGCCUUCGGGUUGUAAACCGCUUUCGCCUGUGACGAAGCGUGAGUGACGGUAAUGGGUAAAGAAGCACCGGCUAACUACGUG
rnacentral:rRNA from 1 species